UACGAAGGGGGCUAGCGUUGCUCGGAAUUACUGGGCGUAAAGCGCUCGUAGGCGGCUUUCUAAGUCGGGGGUGAAAUCCUGGAGCUCAACUCCAGAACUGCCUUCGAUACUGGAAAGCUCGAGUCCGGGAGAGGUGAGUGGAACUGCGAGUGUAGAGGUGAAAUUCGUAGAUAUUCGCAAGAACACCAGUGGCGAAGGCGGCUCACUGGCCCGGUACUGACGCUGAGGUGCGAAAGCGUGGGGAGCAAACAGG
rnacentral:rRNA from 1 species